CGCAGCCUCAGACUGCAGUUGAUCAGCGGGGAAUAACUAUGAUGGUUCGGAAGGUUUCAGGUGGCAAAUAUCACUUCAGUUCUUUCUUCAGGAUUUCAGCAUCUGGCUAUCUUUGUUGUGCAGUGUUAUCAAACCAUUGAGAGAAACAGAACUUUCCUCAAAGCCAAGAAACAGCUUUCAAAAGGAAGUUUCCCAAAAACUCUUCUAAAAGUACCAGCAUAUCUUCAAACCAAAUGAGGAAAUUGCAGGCCACAGAUACAAGUAACCAGCUUAACCACUGGAUUGUGCUCUCUCUUUCCUUCUGUAAUCUACUUUGAACAAAUAAUACAAACGUGAAUAAUCCAUUUGCUAUUGGUAUCUCAAGUUUUGUUGUCUUGAUUUCCCUGGUCUCUACCUUUUAUUCUGUAAUUAAGAACUAUUUAACGAUGAGUUGAAUUUAGAUUAAUUUCUUUUAACAAGGGUAUCUGACACAUAUAUAUGGCACUUAUUAGUGUCAAACACUGAUCUGAGCACUUAUAUUAACUUAUACACACACACACCUAUUAACUCAUUAUAUCCCCAUUUUAUUGAUAAAGAAACUGAGGCCCAAAAUGAUUAAGUGACUUGUCCAAAACCACACAGAGAGUUAAUGGCACAAAAUACUUUUCAAGCCCAGGCCACCUGGCUUUAGAAUCUGGGCACUUGAUAAUUAACAUUUUAGAUCACUGAUUCCCCAGGUUGCAGCCAGAAUAUGCAAUCAUUUUAGUGAUACCAGAAUGUAAGCUUUGUGAGGGGCUUUGUUUUCUUCACUGCUGUAUCCUUAUCACCAGAAUGUAGUAGAUGCUUAAUAAAUGCUGUAUGUCUCAUAUGAAUAAAUGGGU
rnacentral:lncRNA from 10 species